rnacentral:rRNA from 1 species
GAUGAAUGCUAGCGACAGGCUUAACACAUGCAAGUCGAGGGGCAGCGGGGUGUGGCAACACACUGCCGGCGACCGGCGCACGGGUGAGUAACGCGUAUGCAACUUGCCUAUCAGAGGGGGAUAACCCGGCGAAAGUCGGACUAAUACCGCAUAAAACGGGGGUUCCGCAUGGGGAUAUUUGUUAAAGAUUCAUCGCUGAUAGAUAGGCAUGCGUUCCAUUAGGCAGUUGGCGGGGUAACGGCCCACCAAACCGACGAUGGAUAGGGGUUCUGGUGGGAAGGACCCCCACAUUGGUACUGAGAGACGGACCAAACUCCUACGGGAGGCAGCAGUGAGGAAGAUUGGUCAAUGGCCGGGAGGCUGAACCAGCCAAGUCGCGUGAAGGAUGAAGGUUCUAUGGAUUGUAAACCUCUUUUGUGCGGGAAUAAAGUCGGGGAUGCGUCCCCGUUUGCAUGUACCGUACGAAUAAGCAUCGGCUAACUCCGUGCCAGCCGCCGCAGUAA